rnacentral:ncRNA from 1 species
AAAAAGAAGUUCAUGCUGCAAUUCUGCACAUACGCGGUGCAGGAUAGCGAGGUGAGAUCUCGUUGUACUCAUGACACACGUCGUAGACCUCUCUACUGCUCAUUAUAAUUGGGGCAACGAGAGCAUCCCCGGCCCGUCUCAUGAUGUGGUCAUGGGUGUACUUGCGCGUGGAAUGGCAACACAAAACGCGUAAGGCCUGUGCGUCAUCGGGGCGGAGCAUGAGCACACACGUUGAGACCCGAAAGAUAGUGAACUAUGCUUGCGUAGAUUGAAGCCAGAGGAAACUCUGAUGGAGAACCGUAGCGAUUCUGACGUACAAAUCGAUCGUCAAACGUGGGUAUAGGGACGAAGGACUAAUCGAACCAUCUAGUAGCUGUUUGCCUCCAAAGUUUCUCUCAGGAUAGCUGGAAUUCAUUGGUCUAAUCAGUAUAUCCGGUAAAGCGAAUGAUUAGAGGUACUGGGUUCGAAAUGAACUCAACCUCUUCUCAAACGUUAAAUGGGUGAGAUGCUCGACUCGCCUCGUGUGCGUGUGUGUUCCACUGUGCGGAAUCGGGGGUUGAAUGGGGGAGUGCCAAGUGGGCCAUUUUUGGUAAGCAGAACUGGCGCUGUGGGAUGAACCAAACGCGUGGUUAAGGUGUCUAACGCUGAUGCUCAUGGGAUACCACAAAAGAUUUUGGUUAAUAUAGACAGCAGGACGGUGGCCAUGGAAGUCGGCACCCGCUAAGGAGUGUGCAACAACUCACCUGCGGAAUUGACCAGCCCUGAAAACGGAUGGCGCUAGAGCGUCGGACCUAUACGGCUCCGUCAUCGCAAGCUGCAUCUCCCCAUGGGGGGUUGUAUAUUACGCGAGCUUGUAUGAUCGCAGCUAAAUUCAUGGUGCAGGCAUGGAGUGCGAUGACGAGUAGGAGGGUCGUCGUGGUGAGCGUAGAAGCCUCUGACGUGAGUCAGGGUGGAACCGCCACGGGUUCAGAUCUUGGUGGUAGUAGCAACUAUUCAAGUGAGAACUUUGAAGGUCGAGGUGGAGAUGGGUUCCAUGGGAAUAGCAAUUGGCCAUGGGUCAGCCGUUCUUAAGCGAUUCAGUAACUCGGUACAGAGUCGUGAUGUGCCUUAUACGUUUUUGUGUUGCUUUCAUAAUAAAAGCAUUUGUGUGCGUGCUGGCAGCCUCUCAGAGCGAAAGAGAAUCGGAUUAGUUUACCCGACCCUGCCCACGGAGAUAGGUGGUGCAUGUGUGCUUGUAUUGUUUGGUUGCGAGUUACUGACAUCAUCAAGCGCGGCAGCGCAAACAAACUCGGAGACGUCGGCAAGAGUUCCGGGAAGAGUUUUCUUUUCUUUGUAAGGAGGACUACCACUCUUGGAGUCGGAUUGUCCGAAGAUAGGGGUCUCGUUUCCGUAAAACACCACUCCUCUUGUGGUGCGCGGUACGCUCAUGUCGGCCCUUGAAAAUCCGAGGGAGGCAUUGUGAUUUUCGUGGCAGUCCGUACCCAUAUCCACAUCAGGCCUCCAAGGUGAAGAGCCUCUGGCA